GGUGUAUGGUGUGUGUGGGCACGUUGGAUCCCUGCUCUGGGCAGCGACAACGUCUCCUCCAUGCCUUUUCAGUUGUUGGCAGGAGCAUGUGCUCGGCCGAUGUUCGGUUUUCCUGUGUUGAAUACCUAUCAAAAAGGCAUUUUGUUGGCUAUCGAAGUCCCUUUCCCGCCUUGUGCUGCUGCUCCUUGUGUGCAAGCGGCGUGGGUGGGCCAAAUUGUGCAUGUCGUGUUUCGCACCGUGUUUGACCUCUCGGGGCRUUCCGGUGUCGACCCACGAUGUGAUGCUCGGUCUCUCGGAUACGGAAUAUCACGUGGGUACGAGGCCAUUGGCCUCCGAGCACCACAAACAAGCGUUCUACGCUUUGUGCGAACGACUGUCGUUCCCGGUCUUUGGCUGUGCUCUAGCAGCUCGGUUCAAGUCGGGCCGACGUCGAUGAGGAAUGCUA
rnacentral:misc_RNA from 1 species